UGCUUGAUGUUGUCACCUUCGUUGAAUG
rnacentral:piRNA from 1 species